GAAAGGCGUAGUCGAUGGGAAACGGGUUAAUAUUCCCGUACUUGGUGUUACUGCGAAGGGGGGACGGAGAAGGCUAUGUUGGCCGGGCGACGGUUGUCCCGGUUUAAGCGUGUAGGUGUGUGUUCCAGGUAAAUCCGGUUCACUUUAACACUGAGGCGUGACGACGAGGCACUACGGUGCUGAAGCAACAAAUGCCCUGCUUCCAGGAAAAGCCUCUAAGCAUCAGGUAACAUCAAAUCGUACCCCAAACCGACACAGGUGGUCAGGUAGAGAAUACCAAGGCGCUUGAGAGAACUCGGGUGAAGGAACUAGGCAAAAUGGUGCCGUAACUUCGGGAGAAGGCACGCUGACACGUAGGUGAAGUGAUUUACUCAUGGAGCUGAAGUCAGUCGAAGAUACCAGCUGGCUGCAACUGUUUAUUAAAAACACAGCACUGUGCAAACACGAAAGUGGACGUAUACGGUGUGACGCCUGCCCGGUGCCGGAAGGUUAAUUGAUGGGGUCAGCGCAAGCGAAGCUCCUGAUCGAAGCCCCGGUAAACGGCGGCCGUAACUAUAACGGUCCUAAGGUAGCGAAAUUCCUUGUCGGGUAAGUUCCGACCUGCACGAAUGGCGUAAUGAUGGCCAGGCUGUCUCCACCCGAGACUCAGUGAAAUUGAACUCGCUGUGAAGAUGCAGUGUACCCGCGGCAAGACGGAAAGACCCCGUGAACCUUUACUAUAGCUUGACACUGAACAUUGAGCCUUGAUGUGUAGGAUAGGUGGGAGGCUUUGAAGUGUGGACGCCAGUCUGCAUGGAGCCGACCUUGAAAUACCACCCUUUAAUGUUUGAUGUUCUAACGUGGACCCGUUACCCGGGUUGCGGACAGUGUCUGGUGGGUAGUUUGACUGGGGCGGUCUCCUCCUAAAGAGUAACGGAGGAGCACGAAGGUUGGCUAAUCCUG
rnacentral:rRNA from 1 species